UGAGGGAAUAUUUGGGGUCAAUGGACGCAAGUCUGAACCAGCCAUGCCGCGUGAAGGAAUAAGGCCCUAUGGGUCGUAAACUUCUUUUGUAUGUGAGCAAUAAGGUCCACGUGUGGUCCGAUGAGAGUAGCAUACGAAUAAGCAUCGGCUAACUCCGUGCCAGCAGCCGCGGUAAUACGGAGGAUGCAAGCGUUAUCCGGAUUCAUUGGGUUUAAAGGGUGCGUAGGCGGCUUGGUAAGUCAGCGGUGAAAUUCCAGUGCUCAACAUUGGCCGUGCCGUUGAUACUGCUGGGCUUGAAUGCGGAUGCCGUGAGAGGAAUGUGUGGUGUAGCGGUGAAAUGCAUAGAUAUCACACAGAACACCGAUUGCGAAGGCAUCUCACG
rnacentral:rRNA from 1 species